rnacentral:rRNA from 1 species
GAGUGAAGCGGCAAUAGCUCAAAUUUGAAAGCUGGCCCCUUUGGGGUCCGCGUUGUAAUUUGUAGAGGAUGAUUCGGCGAGGGCUCCCGUCUAAGUCCCCUGGAACGGGGCGUCAUAGAGGGUGAGAAUCCCGUAUGUGAUGGGUUGCCUUAGCCAUGUGAAUCUCCUUCGACGAGUCGAGUUGUUUGGGAAUGCAGCUCUAAAUGGGAGGUAAAUUUCUUCUAAAGCUAAAUACCGGCCAGAGACCGAUAGCGCACAAGUAGAGUGAUCGAAAGAUGAAAAGCACUUUGGAAAGAGAGUUAAAAAGUACGUGAAAUUGUUGAAAGGGAAGCGCUUGCAGCCAGACUUGUCCGCAGUUGCUCAGCCGGUCUCCUGACCGGCGUACUCUUCUGCGGCCAGGCCAGCAUCAGUUCGGGCGGUCGGAUAAAGACCUCGGGAAUGUAGCUCCUCUCGGGGAGUGUUAUAGCCCGGGGUGGAAUGCGGCCAGCCUGGACUGAGGAUCUCGCUUCGGCUAGGAUGCUGGCGUAAUGGCUGUAAGCGGCCCGUCUUGAAACACGGACCAAGGAGUCUAACAUCUAUGCGAGUGUUUGGGUGUCAAACCCAUACGCGUAAUGAAAGUGAACGGAGGUGGGAACCCUCACGGGUGCACCAUCGACCGAUCCUGAUGUCUUCGGAUGGAUUUGAGUAUGAGCAUAGCUGUUGGGACCCGAAAGAUGGUGAACUAUGCCUGAAUAGGGUGAAGCCAGAGGAAACUCUGGUGGAGGCUCGCAGCGGUUCUGACGUGCAAAUCGAUCGUCAAAUUUGGGUAUAGGGGC